GAUGAACCCUGGCGGCGUGCCUAACACAUGCAAGUCGAGCGAUCUUCUUCGGAAGAGAGCGGCGGACGGGUGAGUAACGCGUGGGUAACCUGCCCUGUACACACGGAUAACAUACCGAAAGGUAUGCUAAUACGGGAUAAAAUAUAAAAGUCACAUGACUUUUGUAUCAAAGAUUUAUCGGUACAGGAUGGACCCGCGUCUGAUUAGCUAGUUGGUAAGGUAAUGGCUUACCAAGGCGACGAUCAGUAGCCGACCUGAGAGGGUGAUCGGCCACACUGGAACUGAGACACGGUCCAGACUCCUACGGGAGGCAGCAGUGGGGAAUAUUGCACAAUGGGCGAAAGCCUGAUGCAGCAACGCCGCGUGAGCGAUGAAGGCCUUCGGGUCGUAAAGCUCUGUCCUCAAGGAAGAUAAUGACGGUACUUGAGGAGGAAGCCCCGGCUAACUACGUGCCAGCCGCCGCGGUAACAC
rnacentral:rRNA from 1 species